rnacentral:rRNA from 1 species
UGAGAGGAGCACUGUCUACAACGGAGGGACUCGGACGAACAUUAGAGGACGUGUGAAGAUACACGUGACCCGCAGCGGGACAAAAAGACCCCGUGAAGCUUUACUACAACUUGCCAUUGAGUUAGGGCUAAACUUGUGUAGAAUAGGUGGGAGGCUUUGAAGCUGGGACGCCAGUCUCGGUGGAGCCACCGUUGAAAUACCACCCUGGUUUAGUCUUGGCUCUAACCUGUCGCCGUUAUCCGGCAUGGGAACAGUGGCUGGUGGGUAGUUUGACUGGGGCGGUCGCCUCCGAAAGCGUAGCAGAGGCGCCCAAAGGUUCCCCUCAGGCUGAAUGGAAACCAGCCGUUGAGUGUAAAGGCACAAGGGAGCUUGACUGCAAGACCUACAAGUCGCGCGAGGGACGAAAGUCGGGC